rnacentral:rRNA from 1 species
GACCUCGAUGUUGGAUCAGGGUAUCCCAGUGGUGCAGCCGCUACUAAAGGUUCGUUUGUUCAACGAUUAAAACCCUACGUGAUCUGAGUUCAGACCGGAGUAAUCCAGGUCAGUUUCUAUCUAUAACGGGGCUCUUUCUAGUACGAAAGGACCGAAAAAGCAUGGCCAAUACUUCACGCAUGCCAUAACUAGUAGUUUAUGACCCAAUCUUAAUAAAUAACUAGCCCAACUAUCAACUCUAAAGAAGAGUG